GACGGAGGAUGCAAGCGUUAUCCGGAAUUAUUGGGCGUAAAGCGUCCGUAGGCGGUUUCAAAAGUCUGUUGUUAAAGCCCACAGCUCAACUGUGGAUCGGCAAUGGAAACUGUGAGACUAGAGAGUGGUAGGGGUAGAGGGAGUUCCUAGUGUAGCGGUGAAAUGCGUAGAUAUUAGGAAGAACACCAGUGGCGAAGGCGCUCUACUGGGCCAUUACUGACGCUGAUGGACGAAAGCUAGGGGAGCGAAAGGG
rnacentral:rRNA from 1 species